UAAUGUAGACAGAAAAAGGGAAGCCCCGCUAGAACAGGACUUCCCAUACAAGCCGCUUUAAAGGCGGUGGCCUAGAUUACAAAACUACAUU
rnacentral:sRNA from 1 species